rnacentral:rRNA from 1 species
GUGCAUCGGGUAAGACCGAUGCUUUUCUUGACUCUUCAAAGGUCUUGGAAUAAGGGGUGGGUAAGGACGGUGCCAGCCGCCGCGGUAAUACCGGCGCCCCAAGUGGUAGUCGCUUUUAUUGGGCCUAAAACGUCCGUAGCCGGUCUGGUACAUUCGUGGGUAAAUCAACCAGCUCAACUGGUUGAAUUCUGCGAGCACGGCCAGACUUGGGACCGGGAGAGGUGUGGGGUACUCUCAGGGUAGGGGUAAAAUCCUGUCAUCCUGAGAGGACCACCUGUUGCGAAGGCGCCACACUAAAACGGAUCCGACGGUCAGGGACAAAGCCUAGGGGCACGAACCGGAUUAAAUACCCGGGUAGUCCUAGGUGUAAACGCUGUGGACUUGAUGUUGGGGGCGCUCCGAGCGCACUCAGUGUCGAAGCGAAGGUGAUAAGUCCACUGCCUGGGGAGUACGGUCGCAAGGCUGAAACUUAAAGGAAUUGGCGGGGGA